rnacentral:tRNA from 1 species
GACUCUGUAGCGCAAUGGUAGAGCGUCUGACUCCAGAUCAGAAGGUUGCGAGUUCGAAUCACGUCAGGGUCA